rnacentral:rRNA from 1 species
GAUGAACGCUGGCGGCGUGCCUAAUACAUGCAAGUCGAACGCAUUGUGGUUGAAAUGAUAUGAAGAACUUGUUCAGAUUUGAUUUUCAACAUUGCAAUGAGUGGCGAACGGGUGAGUAACACGUGGGAAACCUACCUCUUAGCAGGGGAUAACAUUUGGAAACAAAUGCUAAUACCGUAUAAUAAUUAAAACCGCAUGGUUUUAGUUUAAAAGAUGGUCUUGCUAUCACUAAGAGAUGGUCCCGCGGUGUAUUAGUUAGUUGGUGAGGUAAUGGCUCACCAAGACAAUGAUACAUAGCCGAGUUGAGAGACUGACCGGCCACAAUGGGACUGAGACACGGCCCAUACUCCUACGGGAGGCAGCAGUAGGGAAUCUUCCACAAUGGACGAAAGUACUGAUAGAGCAACGCCGCGUGUGUGAUGAAGGGUUUCGGCUCGUAAAACACUGUUGUAAGAGAAGAAUGACAUUGAGAGUAACUGUUCAAUGUGUGACGGUAUCUU